rnacentral:rRNA from 1 species
AGAGUUUGAUCCUGGCUCAGAACGAACGCUGGCGGCAGGCUUAACACAUGCAAGUUGAACGUGAUUUGCUGGGUGCUUGCACCGAGCAAUGAAAGUAGCGCACUGGUGAGUAACACGUGGGAACGUACCUUUUGGUGGGGAACAACAGUUGGAAACGACUGCUAAUACCGCAUAAGCCCUGAGGGGGAAAGAUUUAUCGCCGAAAGAACGGCCCGCGGAAGAUUAGGUAGUUGGUGGGGUAACGGCCUACCAAGCCGACGAUCUAUAGCUGGUCUGAGAGGACGAUCAGCCACAUUGGAACUGAGACACGGUCCAAACUCCUACGGGAGGCAGCAGUGAGGAAUAUUGGGCAAUGGAGGCAACUCUGACCCAGCCAUGCCGCGUGAGUGAAGAAGGUUUUCGGAUUGUAAAGCUCUUUCGGGUGUGACGAUGAUGACGGUAGCACCUAAAGAAGCCCCGGCUAACUUCGUGCCAGCAGCCGCGGUAAUACGAAGGGGGCAAGCGUUGUUCGGAAUUACUGGGCGUAAAGGGAGUGUAGGCGGUUAUGUAAGAUAGUGGUGAAAUCCCAGAGCUUAACUUUGGAAUUGCCAUUAUGACUAUGUGGCUAGAAUUACAGAGAGGAUAGUGGAAUACCCAGUGUAGAGGUGAAAUUCGUAGAUAUUGGGUAGAACACCAGUGGCGAAGGCGACUAUCUGGCUGUAUAUUGACGCUGAGGCUCGAAAGCAUGGGGAUCAAACAGGAUUAGAUACCCUGGUAGUCCAUGCUGUAAACGAUGAGUGCUUGUUGUCGGUGUAAAAUCGGUGACGAAGUUAACGCGUUAAGCACUCCGCCUGGGGAGUACGGUCGCAAGAUUAAAACUCAAAGGAAUUGACGGGGACCCGCACAAGCGGUGGAGCAUGUGGUUUAAUUCGAUGCAACGCGAAGAACCUUACCAACUCUUGACAUCCUUAUCGGGGAGAUCAGAGAUGAUUUCUUUCAGUUAGGCUGGAUAAGUGACAGAUGCUGCAUGGCUGUCGUCAGCUCGUGUCGUG